rnacentral:rRNA from 1 species
UGCAAGUCGAACGGUAACAUUGGUGCUUGCACCAGAUGACGAGUGGCGCACGGGUGCGUAACGCGCAUGCAAUCUACCUUUUACUAGAGUAUAGCCCAGAGAAAUUUGGAUUAAUCCUCUAUAAUAUCUUUUAAUUUCAUGAUUUUAAGAUUAAAGUUUUAACGGUAAAAGAUGAGCAUGCGUCCUAUUAGUUUGUAGGUGAGGUAACGGCUCACCUAGACUACGAUAGGUAGGGGCCCUGAGAGGGGGAUCCCCCACACUGGUACUGAGACACGGACCAGACUCCUACGGGAGGCAGCAGUAAGGAAUAUUGGACAAUGGACGAAAGUCUGAUCCAGCCAUGCCGCGUGCAGGAUGAAAGCCCUAUGGGUUGUAAACUGCUUUUAUACAGGAAGAACACUCCGACGUGUCGGAGCUUGACGGUACUGUAAGAAUAAGGAUCGGCUAACUCCGUGCCAGCAGCCGCGGUAAUACGGGAGGAUCCAAAGCGUUAUCCGGAAUCAUUGGGUUUAAAGGGUCCGCAGGGCUGUUUUUUAGGUCAGAGGUGAAAUCCUACAGCUCACCUGUAGAACUGCCUUUUGAUACUGAAAAACUUGAGUUAUUGUGAAGUGGUUAGAAUGUGUGGUGUAGCGGUGAAAUGCAUAGAUAUCACACAGAAUACCGAUUGCGAAGGCAGAUCACUAACAAUAUACCUGACGCUCAUGGACGAAAGCGUGGGGAGCGAACAGGAUUAGAUACCCUGGUAGUCCACGCCGUAAACGAUGGAUACUAGCUGGUCGUCUAACAUUGGUUAGAUGAGUGGCUAAGCGAAAGUGAUAAGUAUCCCACCUGGGGAGUACGGUCGCAAGACUGAAACUCAAAGGAAUUGACGGGGGCCC